AUCUGCCUUGUUAUCUCCUUCAAGCCAGACUAUACCCCUUCUACUGCCAUCUCAUCCACCUUAGCUCUCUACUUUCAUUCUAAACUCCUGAGCCAUCUGGUUCCUCCACAAUGCCCAACCUCUUCUCUCUUCCAGGCCUUUGCUGCCUAUCCUCCCUCCCACUUAUCCUUCUAGGUUCCCUGCUUUAGGAUCCUUGCAGACCUCUCAGUGGGACUUGGGUCACUGCCUAACUGGUACUGCAUUUCUCUACCUUAGGGCAGUUCAAGCAUGCAGACAUCCAGCUGGUGGCAGGGCCUAUGGGGCCAACCCUGAGGAGGCAUGAAGGCUCAGAUGUGCCUGUGGUCCUAGGCAAGAGGCUGGUGAAGGACUCACCAAGGCUGCCACCCUGCUGGGCUUCUUGCUGGCUGGUGAAGCGCUCUCAUGUACAGCAGCUGCUGGGCCACCCCUACUUUGCCUAUGUCCUGUGAGGGCCCCUGAAUGCCAGAGCUAGGAGACCUGAGUUUGGGAGAUCCAGAGGCAAGGGUAUAUGGUGAUCCAGGAACAAAGACUCAAACACAUGGAAACAGACAAAGACAUACACUCACACAUGCACUAAAUGACACAAAUACACCAAAACACACAAACACAGAGAGACAUGCAAAUCUAUGGACCUAUAGGCUUAGGGACUCCAGCCUCCUUACAGUCCUUACUUUCUUCAGUCUCUACUCUCUUCAAUCCAUACUCCACGGCAGCCUUAGAAGUGACUUCCUUAAAACAAAAAACCGAGUCAACAGUCCUGUUCACAACCUUCUCUGGCUCCCAUAGCAUUUUCAAAGCUCUUGGAGUUCCUCUAAAAAACUAUGCUCUCCAAAAAUGGGCCUUUGCCUGCACUUUACCUUCUGUGUGGGACUCCCUUCCUUGACUCCAUGCAAGUAAAUUUUAUGCAUUCUCCAAGCCUUAGCUGUCAUAUUCUCUAGGAGGCUUUCCCUGACCCCUCCCAUAAAUUGAGUUCGGUCCCCCACGGUAUUCCCAUAGCUCACUGCCCAUCCAUUCAAUCUUACUUAUACUGUGUAGUAAUGAUCUAUUUAUUUGUAUGGAUCCUUGACUUAGACUGUGAGCUCUUUGAGAGCAAGGACUUUUCUGAAUCAUCUAUGUAUCCCCUGUGCCUAGCACGUAGUAGGUGCUUAGUAAAUAUUUGUUAAAUGAAUGAACAAAAAAGGAUCUCAUUACACAGUAGUAGAUACACAGAUAUACAUACCACCAAAGACACAGGAUCACACAUAGAAAACAGCAACAAGGACACAGUCAUGGUUGGGGAUAUAGAAAUAGAGACAUAUGGAAACAAAGGAUCUCAAAAUAAAGAGAAUGGACAUAGGGGCACAUAUACAUAUAAAUAGGGGGACAGGAAGCCAGAGUGACAGCACCCAGAGUAACAGAUGAUCUCUUGCCAGGUUUCUGUAUCCUCAUUUUGAGGUGCUGUCCCCAUCACAAGCAAAGAGGCAGGGAAACAAAAAUAGGGUCACUCUGGGACAGGCACACAAAAUGUGAAGACACUGAGACACAACAACAUACAAUUGAAAAGAUAGAUAUUUACAGAUAUGCAGACAUAGGAGCAGAGGGGUCAAGACACACAGUGAUACCUAGGGACACAGAGAUACACAGGGGGACUUGAUCAAGACUACACUCCAAGACUCCAAGAACAGAGAGGUAGAAAUACAGAGAUAUGAUGUCAUGAAGACAUAGAGUGGGAGGUGAGAAGAGAACACAGAUAUAUAAUACCAGAGACCCACAAUGACAUAGAAACAGAGAUAUUACACAGACCCAGACUUGGUGACAAAGAUUCAAGGUACAGGCAUAUGCAGAAGAACACACUAAGACAAGAGCACAGACUUAUAUAUUCAGAGAUCCAGUGACAGUCAUGAGGAUGCAGACACCUGAAGAGUGGCAAACACCACUAAAGAGACAGGGUUCAGCCAAGGUAACAGAGACAUAAGGACAGGCAAGAUAGAGGCCCAGAAAUAAUGGGAAAAUUGUGAGACAGUGAUAGGGACACAGAAAUUCAGAGACAGAGAUCCUAGAACAAUUAGACAUGAGGAUGUGAACCCACAAACAUAGUCAUAUGGAUACAGGCUAAACAUAGGGACAGAAAUAGACACUCUUCUUGAAGAAUCAAGAUAGGAACAAAGAAACCCAGACACAGAGAAACAGACACACAGAACAUUUGCGAAUGGGCAGAGGCUCAGAAUCAAGAUACCCCUGGGGAUACCCAGAAAUAGAGAUACACGAAAAGGCAACCAAGCUGCAAAUGAAGGGAUGGGGACAGUGAAUCAGACUCAGAGACACAGAGAUAGAGGGCCAAAAAUAAAAAGACACGAAUCCAGACACCAGACACAAACAAAGACAGGGACACAGAGGUGGUGAGUCAGAUCAAAACAAAACCAGGGACAGAGUAAGACUGAAAGAGGAACAGAUAUAAAGAGACACCCUGACAAACAGACCCACAGAGACAAGAAUACAGUCAUGGGAAUCCAGAAAAAAAAUCCAUGAAUUAAGAAAGAGAGGUAUUGAGGCAAAGAGCAACUUAAGACACAGUCACAGCAACAUCAAGAAAACAAUACAGAAAUAUUGGAAAAGCCUGGAGUAAAUAAAUGGAGAAGUAGGAUAAAUACCAAAUCACAGACAUAUAGAGCCAAAUCCAAGAUAUGCAUAGACUAAGGGACUCACCAACAAAGAGCACAUGGAAGUAGGCACAUGCAGAGUCACAAGCACACACACUCAUAGAGAGACACUCAGAGGAAUACAGAAACUCUGGGACACACUUACACACACAAAAGUUCAGGGAAAUGCAAAACUUAAGGUUCACAGAAACAGGAACAUAGAGAUACCGGAACACAAAGGGUCACAGGUGCCCUGAUCCAGAGAUGCACAGACACUAGGUCCUAGAUCACAUGAAAAGGUUCAGGGGCAUGCAGACUCAGGAACACAAAAAGUUGCUAAUGUACAGAGAAAGGGAUGCACAAACACUCAAACAGAAAUGUUCAUUGCAUUCCCAGACACAGACAUGAAGUACCCAUGGGUACACAGAGACAGGGAGACACAGACACUGGAUCACAAAAGAUCUAGAUAACACAGAUCACUAGAUCACACAGAUCACUCGAGCACAUUCAGGAAUAAGAAUGCACAGACACUAAAAUGCAGAGAUCAGGAACACACAGAAACAAGAACAUAGAAGCAGGGGAAUACAGACAGAGGCUCAGGGACACCCAGAGAUGUGCUUAUACAGACACUGAAACAUAGUGACUAAUUAGGGGUGCAAAAAGAAUGGGACACAGAAACUCACAGUCUUACAGGGAGCCAAGGAUAUGCAGAUGCUAGACCACAAUAUGCAAUAGAAACCACAGACAACAGAACAUAGAGUCACUGGGCCACAGAAACCUUGAGAAACUAAUAUACAUAGACACUGGAACACAGCCAAACACUUACUUAUAGAGAUAUUAAGAUACACACAGCCAUUGGGAAAUAUAGGCAACCACUGACACACAGACAGACACUGGAAUAUACAAACAUUGGAAUAUACCUAACACAUAGACACUAGAACAGAACACAGGGAUGCUGGCACACAGUGUCUCUGUGACCAGACAUUGCCACACAGAAUAUUGGUAUAUACAAACAUGUGACCAGACAUUGCCACACAGAAGUAUUGGUAUAUACAGCCACUGGGAUACACAAACCGAGGGACACAUAGAACUGGGAAACACACACACACACACACACACACACACACACAUACACACACUGGAACAUGCACACCUCUGGGACACAAGGAAACUUGAGUACAGAGACUGAAGUACACAAAAACUGAAACUCAGUGAUACACAGUAGCAUUCUGAGACUGGGACAUACAGAUAAUAGAAUAUAGAUAUUGAGUCAUACGCAUAUGAGAUACAAAAAAAUUGAGACACGCAGACACUUUGCCUCACAAAUAGUGGAACAAGAAAACAUUGGAAUAUACAUACACUGAGGUACAAUGACAUCAUAACAGAUAGAAACUGGAAUACACCCUGUGACAUACAGUUAUUGAGGCACAUACACACAUGGACCAACCACAUAACCGGGUCAUACAAUAGAUAUUGUAACACAUAGGCACUGGUGCAAAGGUGCUGAAGUUCAUAGAAACACUGAAACUAAGUGACAUAUGCAACAUGUAAGUGGUCACUGGGGUACACAAGCUGCAGGACAUACAGAAAUUGAGUAACACAGACACUGGAACAUACAGAGACGCCAAGACACACAGACACUAGAACAAACACUCAUCAGGACAUAAACAGAUAUUGGGACACCUAGGCAUUAGAGUAAAGAGAGGCUAUGAUCUACAUGCCCUGGGAAUUAUAUAUACACUGUGACACAUAUUCAUUUUGAAACACAGAGACUGUUGCAUAGUCACAGACUUACUCUGCAGCACAGUCACCUUGGAACACACAAACACAAUGUCCCAAUACAGACAUUGACAGACACUAGAACAUAUAGUCAUUGAGACUUGUACAGACACUAGGACAUAUAGACACUGGAACUCUCUUUCACAGAUAUUGAAACAUACAGAUACUAGUACAAAAACACUAGGGCACACAGACUGGGAUAGACACUGAGACACACAGAAAUACUGAAACUAAGCUACACAAACAACAUGCUGACCUUGAAACAUAGACAUUGGGGGUUCAUGGACAUUAAUGCAGUCAUUUAUAGAGAUAAAGUGAAAUUGGUAUACAGAAACAUUGCAGUACAUAGACAUUGAGGCACAUAAAAGUGAGACACAUAAAAGUAAGACACAUAGAAACUCUGAUAUACAGAGAUAUGGGGAUUUAUAGUCACUGAGACAUUCAGACACUGGGAAUAUAGAUACUGGUGCAUAGUCACUAGGACACACCAACACUGGGAUAUACAGGCACUGGAACACAGAGAUAUUGGUGCACACAGACAUUGAGACACACCAACACUGGGACUUUCACAGGCUCUGUGACACACAGACACUAGGAAAUACAGGCAUUGGGAUACACAAGCACUGGGGGCAUAUAGACAGAGGAAUACACAGAAAGUAAGGUUCAUAAACACUGGGAUAUACAGACUCUACUAGGGUACAUAGGCACUGGGACAGAGAAACACAUACACAUACAUUGGAACUUACAGAGACAGACACACAGACACUGGGAUGUACUGUCAUCAGGUAAUACACAACAUUGAAACAUACAGUCAAUAGGAUGCAUAGACACUGGGAAAUAGACAAUAGGACACAUUGAUGGACACACAAACAGAGGCACUCUUGAUCAGUGGGACACAUAGAUACAUUGUAACACAGAGACCCUGGGACACACACUGGGACAUAUAGACUAGGACAGUCAUUGGAGCAUACCCAGACCCUGAACCCACAGACCCUAAAAAAUACAGACUUUGAGAUAUACAGCCACUGGGACAUAUUUAAACUAGAAAAACAAAGAAUCUGAGAUAUACACAGAUGCUAAGGCAAGAACACUGUUCAGUAUAAUCAUUGGGACAUGUACAGACACUGGAGCACAGAGACACUGGCAUUUAUACAUAAGGGUAAAUACUAACACCAAGAAACACAGAUACUGGAAUAUUCAAACGCUGACCCAAAGACACAUAGACACUUGGGCAUAGAGAAAAGCUAGGACAUACAGUCACUAGGACAUCCAGAUGCUGGAACACAAAAAUACCAAGACAUAAAGACAUAGGACGCACACAAGCUAAACAUACAAUACUUUGACACACUGUCACUAGGGUGUACACAAACACUGUGACACUAAAACAUUGAGACACAAAGAAACUGGAAUACACAAACAAUGGGAGACAUAGUGAAACACGCAGAAAUUGGACACAAAGAAUCUAAGUAACACAAAGAAUGGGAGGUAUUCUUGAUGCCAGGCUUGUAGGCCCUUUACCGUUGCUUUACCAUUAAUGAAGAGGAGAAAAUGAGAGAAUAUGGGAGGGAAUGGUCUCAUCCUGAGUCUCAGGACAUGGGGAAGCACGAGAGUGCUCUAAUGAGGAGAGUGCUGACUGGAGAGGAAGGUGGAUAGCAGGGUAAAGAGGGAAAGAGGGAGGGUGGAUGAGAAAUGUGAGUUUUCUUCCAGGGCCAGUAGAACCAGUGCAGCCUGGGGUGAAAGUGUUUGAAGCCAGACUUAAGGGGAUUGGUCUGAUAUGAUAGGAGGAGAGGAGAGGGGAGAAGAAUGCUUUCUGAGGUGGUAGUGGGUAGGAAUGAACAAACACAAAGGCUCUAUCCUUGGCAUGAAUUCACACUCUUUUUUAUUGAAAUAUAGUUGAUUUACAAUAUUAUAUUAGUUUCAGAUGUACAAUAUAGUGAUUCAAUAUUUUUUGCAGAUUAUAUUCCAUUAAAAGUUACUACAGAGAGAUGCCCAUUGUCCCACUGCAGGUAGAGCCCAGGUGCAGAAUGUAAUCAUUCUUUGCUUGAUUUCACUGAACAAGCUUCUGACAGUUCUCCCAUCCUGUAGCUUUCUCCAAGCUUCAGUCCAUCUUCUCCAGGAUGGCCUAGUAAUACACCUUGGAGACAAGGUGGCAGAGUAGAAGGACUUGAGCUUAACUCCUUUCAUGAAAACACCAAAAUCACAACUAACUGCUGAACAACCAUUGACAAAAUAGACUGGAAAAUACCAAAAAAAAAAAAAAA
ensembl:lncRNA